rnacentral:rRNA from 1 species
UACGGGGGGGGCAAGCGUUGUUCGGAAUUACUGGGCGUAAAGGGUUCGUAGGUGGCCAACUAAGUCAGACGUGAAAUCCCUCAGCUUAACUGGGGAACUGCGUCUGAGACUGGAUGGCUUGAGUGCAGGAGAGGAACGCGGAAUUCCAGGUGUAGCGGUGAAAUGCGUAGAUAUCUGGAGGAACACCGGUGGCGAAGGCGGCGUUCUGGACCGAUAUUGACGCUGAGGAGCGAAAGCCAGGGGAGCAAACGGG